UACCUGGUUGAUCCUGCCAGUAGUCAUAUGCUUGUCUUAAAGAUUAAGCCAUGCAUGUCUAAGUAUAAGCAUUUAUACCGCGAGACUGCGAACGGCUCAUUAAAACAGUUAUGGUUUAUUUGAUGGUUCCUUUGCUACUUGGAUAACCGUAGUAAUUCUAGAGCUAAUACAUGCACGAAGGGGCGACUUACGAAGCCCUGUAUUUAUUAGAUUAAAGCCAACCACCUCCGGGUGUCCGUGGUGAAUCAUAGUAACUUAUCGGAUCGCCGGCUCAAUGCCAGCGACGUGUCAUUCAAAUUUCUGCCCUAUCAGCUUUAGAUGGUAGGAUAUGGGCCUACCAUGGCGGUGACGGGUAACGGAGAAUUAGGGUUCGAUUCCGGAGAGGGAGCCUGAGAAACGGCUACCACUUCUAAGGAAGGCAGCAGGCGCGCAAAUUACCCAAUCCUGACUCAGGGAGGUAGUGACAAGAAAUAACAAUAAACCGGCUUAUGCCGGUUUAAUUGGAAUGAGUACAAUCUAAACAUCUUAACGAGGAACAAUUGGAGGGCAAGUCUGGUGCCAGCAGCCGCGGUAAUUCCAGCUCCAAUAGC
rnacentral:rRNA from 1 species